ACAGGCCUUCAUACAAUUUGUGGAGUCUUGGUCGUCUCUGAUGAAGACUGAGGAUAUUUAUCUGACAGCGAUUCCUAUAGUAACAUCUGAGAUGACAGCAAGUGGACAUGCCACUUUUGUUGUAGUUUAUGGCAUAAUUUCUAUGAUAAACAGACUGAAGUUUUUGAGUGAGGCUUACUGGGCAACCAACCAGCUCACGGACACUGAUUUAAUCCAGUGGACAUUGUUUAUUAUCAGCUGGAUCUUAUUCCUAAUACUGCUUGUCACAGGAGCUCUUGAUGCCAUCUUCCAGACUGCCUUGAGUCAUGAAUGCCUAGCGAUUUCUGAGUGCGCGACGUUUGUCGUGGAAUCGUACUGGAGUCUCCACGACGCCUUGUUGUAGUUACGAGCAGCCACCAAGUGAUGAUCAUGCGCCGAGGCAUUCAUUUCUUCUACUGAAGCGUGAUGUGAUGAGAUUUUGACUACAGUGUCUGCACUGGCUUUGUUGUGUCAUUGUUCCGAAGAUAAAACACGUGCUAGUGGCUGUCACCGAUCCCAUUAAUGGGAGGCAAUCGCCGGGCAGAUUCCAAGGGCUGACAUAUCGGCCCCCCGAAACGCACCACGAAAGCGCGGACAAUUUAACCUUUUAGUGCACCAGCGAAGGCCGGUUGUGGUCCAAAGACAGAGUCAGAGCCAAGUGUUGAUAACACAAAGAAAAUAUAUUCUCAGUUAACGCAGUACAAGCAUCACACAAACAUGUACACUCAGCUGGUAUCAAUUACAACUCUCAAUAUAACUUAGUCUGGAU
rnacentral:lncRNA from 1 species